rnacentral:lncRNA from 13 species
UUUGUUUAAGACACAAACAUACACAUUAGCCUAGGCCUACACAGGGUUAGGAUCAUCAAUAUGAUUUUCCAUCUCUAUGUUUUGUCCCAUAGAAAGCUCUUCAGUGUCAGUGAAACUCAUGGAGCUGUCAUCUCCUGUGAUAACAAUGUCUUCUGGAAUACCUCCUGAAAGACAUGCCUGAGACUGUUUUACAGCCGCAGAGAGAAGAAGCUGCCCAAGAAUGGAAAGGAAGAAAUAUAUCACAUCAUCUGUCUGUCCACAGGCUUUCCUUGGGGCUUAUGAAGUUAUUAUGCUUUGAAGAAACUGCCAAAUUACAUGAAGGUUCUCCAUGAAGAAGUCAAGGUCAGUUUGUUCUACAAUUUUUUAGAGUAGCUGAUGUUCUAUAAUAAAACUUCCUCUGACAUCUUAAGGUGAAAGUGU